UACGUAGGGACCAAGCGUUGUUCGGAUUUACUGGGCGUAAAGGGCGCGUAGGCGGCAAUUCAAGUCAUCUGUGAAAUCUCCGGGCUUAACCCGGAACGGUCAGAUGAUACUGCUUUGCUAGAGUGCGGAAGGGGCAAUCGGGGAUUCUUGGUGUAGCGGUGAAAUGCGUAGAUAUCAAGAGGAACACCUGAGGUGAAGACGGGUUGCUGGGCCGACACUGACGCUGAUAGCGCGAAAGCCAGGGGAGCAAACGGG
rnacentral:rRNA from 1 species